rnacentral:lncRNA from 1 species
CGAAACCGCAAUAUAUCUCAUUGAAUAUAUAAGGAAAAUUAAAAAAAAAUAAUUUGAUACAAGUAAGGUAUCAUAAAUACCUUAUAUGAUCUUACAUAAAUUUCGAAUUCCAUGGGGUGUAGCAGUGGGGACUUCUGACUGCCGUAACAGUGAUUCCAUAAACAAUCAACUUAUUGUUUCAACAAAAUGGAGGUCCAUGUCCACACCCAUCCCCUUUUAUGAAAGAAAUCCACCUCUGGGUAGGUCUUAAAACUUUUUGAUUUUGUUCCUGUAAGUGAAAAAAAUGUAGGGUAUGCCCCACAUCUUAAAAAAAAAAAAAAAAAACUAAAUUGAAAAUUCAAAUGCCCCCAACCACCCCCCAAAAAAACCCCAAAAAACCAAGAAAAAAACCCGAACCACAC